GCCUCCCGUGGUUGGCUGGUGCGGUGCGUGACUACCGCUCGUGGGGGGCUGCGAUAAGGCGGCUGAUGCCGGGUUCGUCCCGAGAGAGGUC
rnacentral:tRNA from 1 species